GAUGAACGCUGGCGGCGUGCCUAACACAUGCAAGUCGAACGAAGGUAUGUAUAGGAAGUCUUCGGAUGGAAUAUGUAUAACUUAGUGGCGGACGGGUGAGUAACGCGUAAGUAAUCAACCUGUGACACACGGAUAACUGAUAGAAAUGUCAGCUAAUACGAGAUGAACUGUUUAAAUUGGGAAAUGGAAACAGCAAAGCGAAAGCGGUCACAGACGAGCUUGCGUCUGAUUAGCUAGUUGGUGGGGUAAGAGCCUACCAAGGCAACGAUCAGUAGCCGGCCUGAGAGGGUGAACGGCCACAUUGGAACUGAGACACGGUCCAAACUCCUACGGGAGGCAGCAGUGGGGGAUAUUGCACAAUGGGGGGAACCCUGAUGCAGCAACGCCGCGUGAGUGAAGAAGGCCCUAGGGUCGUAAAGCUCUGUCGUANGGGAAGAAGAAAANGA
rnacentral:rRNA from 1 species